AUGUCUGGAUGGGGUACUUGGUCGGGUCAGCCUGAGGAUGGCGGGGAGCCGAGUGGCCAUGCUGAUGAUGGCGGGGAGCCGAGUGGCCAUGCUGAUGAUGGCGGGGAGCCGAGUGGCCAUGCUGAUGAUGGCGGGGAGCCGACUGAUUUUGAGGAGGAGGGGGAGGAGGGGGGCAACGUCUACCAGCGUGGUGCUACACGGCUCCCGUCCGUGCUGGCGACCCGCGAGCAGAGGUGGUUGAUUUUCCCUGAUGGGGAGAGGGGUUGGGACCAGCAUGAAAGUGUCCGCCGGCCCAACUCCAUCCUUGGAGUUCUGAUUCGGCAAAACUUUCUGGGGUUUGUCACGUUGCCUGGUGAGGGUCCGCUUCCAGAGGUUGGAUUGAGUUGGGAGCACUACUUGGCUGCCCCGGCCCCGCCAGGUGAGAUUAUCGAUGGUGUCUUGUGCAAGACGAGGGCAGACAUGGUGAUCAGAAAGUUCUGGACAUUCUACACAUGUGAGGAGGGAUACGAGGAGGAGGCUGCAGAUGUUAUCCAAAAGGAGUGCAAGCGCCUACUUCAGAACUUACGGCAUGAGGCUCGGGUGCAGUCUGUUCGAGACUACUACGCCGACCGUGGUAUCAAGAAGUCCAAGCAGGAUUGUCGCGAUAAGUUCUUGAGUAAGGAGCAGUACAUGAAGGCCCCUCAGAGAUGGUGUGCGGAUCAGAUGGAUUGUUGGGAGGUGUUGGCCGAUGGGUGGUGCUCAAAAGAAUGGCGGGCCACCCACAACGAGGCCAAGGACAAACGUGCCCAAAUGGAAGGUGUGCCACACCACCAAGGCAGCUCCAACUUAUUUCAGUAUGGGCGGAACUGGUCACGCUACAAUAAGGCGGAUAAGGUGCCAGAGGUGUACGACCUGUAUGCCAUGGCCCACACUGGCUCUUACAAGAAAGUCAAGGCAUUCUCUGCGUCUGACCUCGAUGAUCCAAAGAACUUCACCAACAUCUCCUCCCACGACAAGCUCGUGCAAUAUAGAGAUUAG
rnacentral:rRNA from 1 species